rnacentral:rRNA from 1 species
UUUAUCGGAGAGUUUGAUCCUGGCUCAGGACGAACGCUGGCGGCGUGCCUAAUACAUGCAAGUCGAGCGGACAGAUGGGAGCUUGCUCCUUGAUGUUAGCGGCGGACGGGUGAGUAACACGUGGGUAACCUGCCUGUAAGACUGGGAUAACUCCGGGAAACCGGGGCUAAUACCGGAUGCUUGUUUGAACCGCAUGGUUCAAGCAUAAAAGGUGGCUUCGGCUACCACUUACAGAUGGACCCGCGGCGCAUUAGCUAGUUGGUGAGGUAAUGGCUCACCAAGGCAACGAUGCGUAGCCGACCUGAGAGGGUGAUCGGCCACACUGGGACU